UCUAUUAUUCCUACAGCAUUAUUAAAUACUGAUUGUGGGGACCUGCCCACCAAUACACAGUUUUGCUAUUACAUAUAUACUGUUAACCUUACCUGCACUGGGGACAGACGGGAAAUGAGAGAGUGUUCCUCGUGUUUGGUGAUGAGGGACUAGACAGAGCAAUGGUGUACUUGUAACACGUGGUGUUUGAUGGUGGUCACUAUACAAAUUAUUUCUGUAUAUUGCUCGUUUCAUAUUUGUUUGUUUCAUAGUAUUUGCUCGUUUCAUAUGAUAACUACCUGGGAAUAAUGAGUGUUAAUGAGUGUUUCAUUCGUGUAUGAAUCCCUCGAGCGGUAAACCGAGGGAAGGUAGCUCAGGGAGGGAGGUCAAGCCGGCAGUCUAUCUGUGGUAUAGCAGCCGCACACACCUUGUUGGAUUGAAACCUGUGGAUUUAUUCCAUGUGAGCGCCAGAGACUGUUGGACCGUUCACCCUCACGUUCACCCUGUCGUUCACCCUCACGUUCACCAUAUGGGACAAGUAAACACACACAAGAAUGAACGAGUGUCAAUAACGAGGCGUAAUAAUAUACCAAGAAGAAAUACCCUUGUCUGACGCCCCUGAGUGGGUGUUACAGUACUCAUAACCUUACCUGCAGCUUAGACAGGCGGGAACAAAACCAAGUAUUCCUAUAUUACAUUGUGUUUUGUCAUAAGCAACAAGACAGAACAGUGGCGGAGGGACAGUAAACUUGUAUUCAGUUAAAUGUGCAGUCAUGGUGAAUAGUUGAGUAACAUACCGCUCCGUGCUUAC